GCUGGCGGCGUGCCUAAUACAUGCAAGUCGAGCGAACGGACGAGAAGCUUGCUUCUCUGAUGUUAGCGGCGGACGGGUGAGUAACACGUGGAUAACCUACCUAUAAGACUGGGAUAACUUCGGGAAACCGGAGCUAAUACCGGAUAAUAUUUUGAACCGCAUGGUUCAAAAGUAAAAGACGGUCUUGCUGUCACUUAUAGAUGGAUCCGCGCUGCAUUAGCUAGUUGGUAAGGUAACGGCUUACCAAGGCAACGAUGCAUAGCCGACCUGAGAGGGUGAUCGGCCACACUGGAACUGAGACACGGUCCAGACUCCUACGGGAGGCAGCAGUAGGGAAUCUUCCGCAAUGGGCGAAAGCCUGACGGAGCAACGCCGCGUGAGUGAUGAAGGUCUUCGGAUCGUAAAACUCUGUUAUUAGGGAAGAACAUAUGUGUAAGUAACUGUGCACAUCUUGACGGUACCUAAUCAGAAAGCCACGGCUAACUACGUGCCAGCAGCCGCGGUAAUACGUAGGUGGCAAGCGUUAUCCGGAAUUAUUGGGCGUAAAGCGCGCGUAGGCGGUUUUUAAGUCUGAUGUGAAAGCCCACGGCUCAACCGUGGAGGGUCAUUGGAAACUGGAAAACUUGAGUGCAGAAGAGGAAAGUGGAAUUCCAUGUGUAGCGGUGAAAUGCGCAGAGAUAUGGAGGAACACCAGUGGCGAAGGCGACUUUCUGGUCUGUAACUGACGCUGAUGUGCGAAAGCGUGGGGAUCAAACUGGAUUAGA
rnacentral:rRNA from 1 species